UGUGACUUUCAAUUUUCUCCCUUUGUUUAUUUUUGUCCCUUGGUUUAUUUAGUAAGAAAAAGAUAGAAGAGAGAAAGUGUUGGCUCCGUAGAUUUGAGCCUGGUACUCACCUGGACCAAAAAAAUUCUAAGCAAGCUUUUCCCUUUUGGUUUGCUUUUGUUUCUUUGCCAAAAGGAGAGGACACUGAUGUCAAAAGAGAUGAUCUUGCAAGGGCUCUAAUGGUAUGAUGUAAUUGAAUGUGAUGCUCCAUUGUUAUAGUAUUUGUAGGUGUUGAAUUUAUCUAUGCUCUUUGUUAUGAUCUUCCAGUUACCAAACUUUAUCAUUCUAACAAUGGAGCACUUGUAAUGCCCAUGGUAACCAUGUCGUAAUUGGCAUAAAGCACUUGUAAAUUU